CCUCUUACAAUUAGUUACUGAGUAACAAGGAUUCAUGUUAUCAGAUCAUGUCCAACCUUUCCUAUUGAUUCGCUCCACUUUGCGCCGUCGGCCGAAAAAAUCGCAAGGAAUUGGAAAUCGCGGUUUAUGUGCGCCAUUAAUGCCGUUCGCACCGAGUUUCGGAGCCAGGCUAGGAGGAGCUCAGUCAUCCUGUGCCCUUGCCGUAGUAGAACCUCUUCGGCGAUCCGGCCUGGAAUUCGUUCGGCGAAAUGCACCCCUUGACCAAGUACGCUCUCUGUCUCUGCAUCGUCACGACAUCGGUAUUGGCUUUUAAAGACGGAGACCUUGAAGGAGUCGCAGAUGAAGAGGAAGUCGCUAGAAAAACCUCAGAAAUUGAUGAGGGUAACAGAGAGGAUGAAAGCACUUUCGGAUGCAUCAGAUGUAUCAUUGGAUGUAUGGUCAUGGGAGACCCAUUCUCAAAGUGCAAAUCUCAAGUAUGCAAGCCCAGAUGCAAGAGGGACUAUACUGAGCAAUGUGUCGAUUGCGUCAGAAGUUUUUGCUCCUACAACAAUAGAGGCUUCUUAGACUUUCAAGAUUGCCCAUACUGCUUAGGGGUGUGCGGCCAAAUGCUCUUGCAGUGAACAUUCUCAAUUUUUAAUGUCCAUUUGUGAAAAUUCCCGAUGUAACAUAUUCGCUAUAAUAGUGCUCUUGUUAAUAUCGUCAUUCCGUCCAAGAAAGAACGUAACUGCAUUUCAAUGUUGCCAGAUGUCCACUUGCAAAUUGCAAUUUAAUCAGGAUACAUUUUGGGCAUUUUUAAUGAAAAUUACCCUGAUUUUUCCUCUGAUCCCAUGCAAAAAUCUGACAAAUUUUGGGGGGAAGUUACAUAAGUUCAUUCUCGUAAAAAAUUGAAUUUUUUUAGUCAAUUUUGCAACUUAGGAAUGGAGUUACGUUUUUUCGUCCGGGAGAGGACGAUAUGUCCGGGGAACAAUACGUCUACUAUAAGUAAGGACCCAUUACUGAAUGUCAAGUGUGACAGUUGUACAAAGUUCACAUUUUUUUUUCAUCACUUGUUCAACAUCCGUUUUUCAAAUCAAUAUCCUGUUCCCUCCUCCUCUCACGGCUGUUUUAACUUCGGAAGUUUUUUGACGUGAGGCGUGGAUAGCAAGCCCCAAAUUUUGAUGGAUACGGGCAAUCGUAAGUUGCGAAAUCUAAUCUCUAAAUUCAGUUGUAACAUGGGGAAAUUUAUACUACAUAUAUAAACCAGUACACAAAUGUAUUGCAAAUAGCAUACAUGCUGAUGGUUGGGAAAAAAUUAACCAACUACCUAACUUUUAUCCUGCUAACGAAUGCGAAAAUUGCCUAUUCUUUCUCGGGAAAGCCAAUGACAAAGCCAUCAGUUUUGGGGUUUUUUAAAAAAAAAUUGUCAAGGCACUAUUUCCCCUUAAGGGUUUUGAGUUAUUGAUCACUCAUUAAACUGAUAAUUUUAUGGAUUUUCCCGGCGCAUAGCAUUUUUUCCACCAACAUAUCCCGCUCUCUCAAGUGAAAGCCAACGAUGAAGCUUCUAGGCGUUGUUAUUGUAGUUAAACAAUACCAUUUCAUGUAGUUACAAGAGACACAACUAGUUAUUUGUAAUAUUAUUUUUCUAGGAGAUGAGUUUCUGAUCAUUGAGAAAACUAGUAAUUUUAUAUAUUCCUUCGGCACAGCGAACUUUAUUAUGCGAAAAUAUUCCAUCCUCUUCGGUGAAAAGCCAAAGGCAAGCCCCUGGAAAUUAGCGUGGGCGGCUUAGAUAGCUGACCUCGUCGUUCUUUGUUUCGGAAAUCGAACAUCGGAAAGGCGGGCGUUCGCGUUCAACCCCCUCCGUUUCCGCCGUAACUUCACCGGUGGCUCGAUUGUUGAAUCGCUAUUGAAUGACUUUGGUCGAUAUAUAACAUUGCCAAGAUAGGAAAUUAUCGAUCGAGCUAAUUCGAUAACAAUUCAACAAUCGACCGGCAGGUUUAUUUCUCAGUUCCUACUUAAAAGUCGAAGGUACCAUCGCGAAUGACUCUUUCGUACUUGCUUCUUUUCCGAGGCGGUGAAUGAAUAUCAAAUAGGUGUGGAGUUGUGGGAAGCUCCCGUUUAGCGAAAGACAAGAUUGCCAAAUUACCAGCGUCAGUGAAAAGUAGUAUACAAAUUUUGAAAAUAGAAGAUUGAUUUUGAAAGGCCAGGAAAAGGUUGGCGUCAGGGAGUGGAGGAGGAGAUCGGAAGGUGUCAUUUGCCUGAUGAUCUGUGGGAAGAUCGAUUCCAAUGGCGAUUGGGAGUCGCAGAGCGCUGUAGUGCGCUGAGGUAGCGGCUUGAUAUAUACAUAUAUAAGAUUGAUUCUGAGGUAUGAGUUCACCUGAUUUUGGCCCUAAUGAUCAAGCAUCAAAGUAAUACACGAGUGUUGUUGCAGAGCACAACUGAAAGUCUCAUUACAGAGGGGAAAUGCUGAUUCGAGUACUAUACUGCCUUGCUAAGGAAGACCGCCGCAUGACUAUCAAUUCGAGAGUUGCCAAAUAUUCCCGGAUAAAACAUGUAUUUUUGAGAAAAUUCAUGCAUAUUUUGCUUCGCAAUUUUUAGAUACUUCCAAUGAAAUUGCGUUCAAAAUCGUCUGAAAAAUUUAAAAAAAAGUAUUCAUAAUUUUCCCAGUAAAUUUGAUUUAUAUUGAAGAAAAUAUGGCAACGUCUGAAGGCUCAUACGGCGUUCUUUCUUAGCACGGCAGUAUAUGACUUCACAGAGAAAAGUACUCUUUGCCCGUUAGCAAAAUUACCAGCACUCCGUCUAAAAAUAACUCCGGCGUCGAUCUGCAAUCUUUACGAAAAACAAUAAACGUAUCCAUUGCGUUUACCAAUUGGGGGAUGUUUACGGUAAGUCAGUGUGAACACACAAACAGAGGGAAAAUGAAGCGAUCGUAUUGGUUGAGCCGGGUGGUUGCAAUGCAAUGGACAGAGGAGGUAAGAAAUAGGCAUAGUUACGGCAACCUACAGGGGACACAAUACUAAGUCCAUUCUCCCCCUCAGUCUAUGACAAUAACCCGUUUCAACCAAUAAGAGCGCACCAUUUCCCCUCCGUCUUCUUUGUCUAGAGUUUUGUCUACCAACUUCAAUAAUCAGCCCGCUGCUGCGCGUAAUAGAAGUCAAUCGAAAAAUGAGUAACUUUCCGACAAGCUACCCGGUGCGCCUUCAAAGUCGGAAGCUAGGCCAGAAACACACCAUAGAGCACGAAUUGUUAUCUCACCUGCGCCUUCCUUUAUCCGCGGGCCAGUGUUGUUUGCUUGAAACUAAAUCGACAUAUUGACGAUUCUCACAAGUUGCUAGCGCGGGAUAUUGUCCAUUUUUUCAUGAAAAUGUUUCUAAAAGAAGUAUUUCCGAUAUCAGUCGAUUUUUAUCCAUUCAGGAGAGGAAAUUUAGAGGCCAUUGCUCUAAUAUAGAAGGGUAUCAGAGUAUUUUUAAAUAUGUAAGUAUGCUAUACAUUGCAUCUACUCGUCCGGAAAGUCCGGAAAUAGCUCCGAUUUCUUAAAGGCGGCCCAGAAUUACUGAAGAAAUGUGGAAAUUCCUCAAAAAGGUCCGGAAUUUUUUCUUUCAUACCACGCGCGUUUUUUAAUAAACCCUGCCUGGAAAAUAUGCAAUCCCCUGUGCGUUUGUUCUAAGAAUAGUAUUUGGCUUCAAGAUCAUGAUUUUGCAGUCAGUUAAUCUUUAAGGCACCCAAUGAAAUUGUAAGGCUGCGUCGUUUAUGCCGCAAUUCAAGCGAGAAUUUCAAACUUUCGAAAUUUUUCGAAUUUCGUCGAAUGGAGGUACUGGAAACGUACUGAAUUUUGCGGUUGAAGAGGUACUAAAUCUUUUGAGAAUGUACUGAAAAUGGACUGUAAAAGGACUGAUCUUUGGUCAGCACGUUUUAUUAGACACCCUGUUCUAUAUUCCCCGUGCCUUCUUUGUCUACUGCUUUGUCUAUCAAUUUCAAUGAUCAGCCCUGCUGAUAUUACGCAGGACACCUCCUCAGCUGUUCUUUCUCGCUCAGCUCUCACGUUUGAGCUAAAUUUUACCAACUUGGCCGGAAUUAAUUAAACCCCGCGAACAAAAACGGGUGUCGCAAACCCGACGUGACUCAAUCUCCGCUGCCAAGCAACUCGUAAGUAACAACGGGAAGAAAGUCCUUCCAGACUUAAGACUUUCUUCUUUCACUCUCAAGCUUUCACGAUUGCAUAUCAGGGAAACAAAUACACUAGUGCCAAUCCUUUGCAUUGACCAACACUAGGUGUAUCGCAGCAAUUAGAAAAUUUAGAACUUACGUUAUUUAGCUGUCCUAUGUAUACAGUAUAAUGACAUCAGGGAUUUCUCUCUUAGAGACACAGCAAAAUUUUAACAAAAGAAAAUGCGAAAAAGAACACAUAUCAUCGCUAUUUCUAUCUCUAUGAAGUUACGUUCCUGCAUUCUUAAUAAGUAAAUUCAAUUUUUAGUAAUUAAUCUACCACUAGUAUGUAACCACUGUUCAUCAUUUUUUUAAUUUUUAGGUUUUUAAUCUAUAAAUACUUUUAAAAUUUUAAGUAUUGAAGAUAAUAUAGAUGUCUUUUACAUAAGUUUAUAAAAAUAAAAUAUCUGUAACUUUACAAACCCGAAAGGGUAAGAAUAAAGUAUAUUUUUUCCGAAAUGCGAUUUGGUGCGUUGCUUUUAAACUCUGUCCAAGUCUGUAGGUCCGUCCGUGAGGAAAAAAUCAGUGGCGUGGCGUACUUGGCAAUAUAUCGAUUGUCUACCAUUUCAUCCUAUCGGAAAGGAUCGAUUAACAGGGUUGCCGCAACGGAAACCUUGAAAAUCGAUUCUUUACCAUAGCAUUAAAUGAGGAUUUAUCGAUACUCGACCAUUCACGCCUCGCCACUGAUUAAAAUUGUUUUACCUACUUGCUUAAAAUUGGACGUAUUUCCGCCAAACGGAACCGUGUGCUUUAUGACGUGAGCCUUGUUAUGCGUAUAUUCUUAUGGGUCUCAGGGCUCAUGUCUUAAUGCAUAUAGUUCCGUUUGGCAGAAAUACGUCCAAUUCAAGGUAUCAGUGUUGCCAACUUGCGAGAGUCGCCGUUGCCAGGGUGUCUACAAGUCCGGAAUUUCCGGAAGUCCGAAUUUAGUACGGAUUUUUAAGGGUGGGCCGGAAGUACUGAGAAAGUGCGGAAAUUCCGCAAGAAGGUCCGG
rnacentral:lncRNA from 1 species